AUUGUUGCAGUUAAAAAGCUCGUAGUUGAUAGUCGGGGGAUGGAACCUCUUUAUUGAAGUUUCCGGAACCUAGGCCUGUACUUGUGCAGGCCAGUUACUUUGAGAAAAUUAGAGCGCUUAAAGCAGUCAUUGAAUACGUUAGCAUGGAAUAACAGAAGGACGACGUUUCUUUUGUGGGAACAUCGUAAUUGAUUAACAGGGACAGUCGGGGGCAUCAGUAUUCAGGAGCUAGAGGUGAAAUUCUUGGAUUUCCUGAAGACUAACUAGUGCGAAAGCAUUUGCCAAGGAUGUCUUCAUUAAUCAAGAACGAAAGUUAGGGGAUCGAAGACGAUCAGAUACCGUCGUAGUCUUAACAGUAAACUAUGCCGAUAGAGUGGAGGAUGGACGAUCAAAUCUAUUCUCCGCUCAAGCGAAAGCAGUUGGUUCUGGGGGGAGUAUGGUCGCAAGGCUGAAACUUAAAGGAAUUGACGGAAGGGCACCACCAGGAGUGGAGCCUGCGGCUUAAUUUGACUCAACACGGGGAAACUCACCAGGUCCAGACACAAUGAGGAUUGACAGAUUGAGAGCUCUUUCAUGAUUUUGUGGGUGGUGGUGCAUGGCCGUUCUUAGUUGGUGGAGUGAUUUGUC
rnacentral:rRNA from 1 species